rnacentral:rRNA from 1 species
GCCAGCCGCCGCGGUAAUACCGGCGGCUCGAGUGGUGGCCACUUUAUUGGGCUUAAAGCGUUCGUAGCUGGGUCGUUAAGUCUCUUGGGAAAUCCGGCAGCUUAACUGUCGGGCGUCUAAGAGAUACUGGCGAUCUUGGAACCGGGAGAGGUGAGGGGUACUUCGGGGGUAGGAGUGAAAUCCUGUAAUCCUCGAGGGACCACCUGUGGCGAAGGCGCCUCACCAGAACGGCUUCGACAGUGAGGGACGAAAGCUGGGGAGCAAACCGGAUUAGAUACCCGGGUAGUCCCAGCCGUGAACGAUGUGCGUUAGGUGUAUCGACGACCACGAGUCGUCGAGGUGCCGAAGGGAAACCGUGAAACGUACCGCCUGGGAAGUACGGUCGCAAGGCUGAAACUUAAAGGAAUUGGCGGGGGAGCACCACAACAGGUGGAGCCUGCGGUUUUAAAUUGGACUCAACGCCGGGAAGCUCACCGGAUAAGACAGCUGAAUGAUUGCCGGGCUGAAGACUCUGCAUGACUAGCUGAGAAGAGGUGCAUGG